rnacentral:rRNA from 1 species
GACGAACGCUGGCGGCGUGCUUAACACAUGCAAGUCGAGCGGCGCAGCGAAAGGGUGAGUAACGCGUGAGUAACUGCCCCCCUCUCUGGGAUACCAGUUGGAAACGGCUGCUCAUACCGGCUAGUGGUGGAUGACUCGGGUGCUAUCGGCUGGUUGGUGGGGUAUGGGCCUACCAAGGCGACGACGGGUAGCCGGCCUGGGCGGGGGACCGGCCACAUGGGGCUGAGGGACGCACCAAACGCCGACGGGAGGCAACGGUGGGGAGUAUGGCCGAGUGGGGCAGACCCUGAUGCAGCAACGCCGGGUGCGUGAUGUCGGGUUUCGGGUUGUAAACCGCUUUGAGACAUGACGCGGUAGUGGCAGAAGAAGCACCGGCUAACUACGUGCCAGCAGCCGCGGUAAUAC